AUGAUUUACCUGAAGAAGUUGUAUUUGACAAUGAGAUUAGUACUGAGGAGUCAGAUGGUUUAUCAGGUUAUGCUAGUGACAAUGACAAAGAGAUUGAAGAUAGUGAGAAUGAGUUUUACGAUCCAAAGAAUAGAAAGAAAAAAUAUAUUGAUCCUUAUCAUGGCAUGUAUGAUCAUCCCUUCCAACACAAUGAAGGGGAAGAGAUUUUGUUUAAAGAGGGCCAAGUUUUUAAGGACAUUGUAACUUUGAGGAAUGCGAUGAGGGAUUAUGCUAUUAAGGGGAG
rnacentral:lncRNA from 1 species